CCCACUGUCUCCCCCCUCCAAUCAGUGAAACUGAUCUCUCCGUGAAGAAGCGGGGAUACAAAUAUAAGACGAGAAGACCCCAUGGAGCUUUAAACCCAACAGCACCCGUUUAUUUUCAUCCUCACAUAAAUUAGGUUAUGCCUGUUUGGUUUUAGGUUGGGGUGACCACGGAGUAUAAAACAACCUCCAUGAAAAAAGGACCAAAAAUCCUUAUUAGAGAAAGACAUUUCUAAAAUUAAUAAAUUAAUUUUUAAUGAUCCGAUAUUCGAUCAACGAACCAAGUUACCCUGGGGAUAACAGCGCAAUCCACUUCAAGAGCUCCUAUCGACAAGUGGGUUUACGACCUCGAUGUUGGAUCAGGGUAUCCUAGUGGUGCAGCAGCUACUAACGGUUCGUUUGUUCAACGAUUAAAACCCU
rnacentral:rRNA from 1 species